AGCAGCCGCGGUAAUUCCAGCUCCAAUAGCGUAUAUUAAAGUUGUUGCAGUUAAAAAGCUCGUAGUUGAAUUUCGGGACCAAUUUGUUGGUCGUGCCUCGGUACGUACUGGUAUUAUUGGUUUCUCCCUUCUGAAGAACCUCGAUGCCAUUAAUUUGGUGUCGUGGGGAAUCAGGACUGUUACUUUGAAAAAAUUAGAGUGUUUAAAGCAAGCAUACGCUUGAAUACAUUAGCAUGGAAUAAUGAAAUAGGACGUUUGAUUCUAUUUUGUUGGUUUCUAGGAUCGACGUAAUGAUUAAUAGGGAUAGUUGGGGGCAUUAGUAUUCAAUUGUCAGAGGUGAAAUUCUUGGAUUUAUUGAAGACUAACUACUGCGAAAGCAUUUGCCAAGGAUGUUUUCAUUAAUCAAGAACGAAAGUUAGGGGAUCGAAGACGAUCAGAUACCGUCGUAGUCUUAACCAUAAACUAUGCCG
rnacentral:rRNA from 1 species